rnacentral:rRNA from 1 species
ACAUCCAGAGAACUUAGCAGAGAUGCUUUGGUGCCUUCGGGAACUCUGAGACAGGUGCUGCAUGGCUGUCGUCAGCUCGUGUUGUGAAAUGUUGGGUUAAGUCCCGNAACGAGCGCAACCCUUAUCCUUUGUUGCCAGCGGUUCGGCCGGGAACUCAAAGGAGACUGCCGGUGAUAAACCGGAGGAAGGUGGGGAUGACGUCAAGUCAUCAUGGCCCUUACGGCCAGGGCUACACACGUGCUACAAUGGCGCAUACAAAGAGAAGCGACCUCGCGAGAGCAAGCGGACCUCAUAAAGUGCGUCGUAGUCCGGAUUGGAGCCUGCAACUCGACUCCAUGAAGUCGGAAUCGCUAGUAAUCGUAGAUCAGAAUGCUACGGUCGAAUACGUUCCCGGGCCUUGUACACACCGCCCGUCACACCAUGGGAGUGGGUUGCAAAAGAAGUAGGUAGCUUAACCUUCGGGAGGGCGCUUACCACUUUGUGAUUCAUGACUGGGGUGAAGUCGUAACAAGGUAGGCGUAGCGAG